rnacentral:rRNA from 1 species
GACGAACGCUGGCGGCGUGCCUAAUACAUGCAAGUCGAGCGAAGCGGCGGAUGGGUGAGUAACGCGUGGGUAACCUGCCCUUAAGUCUGGGAUACCAUUUGGAAACAGAUGCUAAUACCGGAUACUAAAGGAUGGACCUGCGAUGCAUUAGCUAGUUGGUAAGGUAACGGCUUAACAAGGCGAUGAUGCAUAGUCGAGUUGAGAGAAUGAUCGGCAAAAUUGGGACUGAGACACGGGCCAAACUCCUACGAGAGGCAGCAGUAGGGAAUCGUACAAAAUGGACGAAAGUCUGAUGGAGCAACGCGGCGUGAGUGAAGACGGUUUUCGGAUCGUAAAGCUCGGUUGUUGGUGAAGAGGUAAGCAACCAGAAAGUCACGGCUAACAACGUGCCAGCAGCAGCGGUAAUUC